CCAGUGCAAUAAGAUGUGAUUUCCAUAAUGGUGUUGUGACCAACGCUAUGUUUGAACAUACCGAUAACCUGCUCACUCAUAUGAGUUGAAUCAGACUGCUGAGAGAUAAGCUCGGGACUUCUAGAGCGCUGAAGGUCAGAUAUUUGAGCCUCCUCCUGGAUUUGUUCCAUCGUGCCGCACGUCCUCAUCCUCCACAGCCUGCUGCAGAAACGGACCAUUGACUCUAUGCACACCGAGGGAAUCAUCUUGCACUUUACCAACAGUGUAUCAAUUAUCAGGGAUCCCGAGCCUCUGCAGGCAUCACAGUAGAAUGGUCCACCAACAGAGUAAACAGCUACAUCCAGGCUCUCUCCAGGAUCCAGUAAUUAAAAUGAAUGGCCACAAGUGAUAAACCGAGUGCAUUACACCUGAGUUAUUGGUGGAAGUACAGUCAUUGUGAGCAUAAUGACGCUCUGUGAUUUACGGCCAUCAAACGUUGGAAUAUGCUUCCAGCUGAGCUUAAAACUUGCACAGACUUUUAUUCUUUUUUUCUUUGGUGCAAAAACGAGGACACUGAGCAACGAGUCACGUCGACGUUAAUUUGAUCAUGAUUCAGAUUUCUAAUUGUAAUGAAUUGUUAUUUUAUGGUUGUGCUGGAUGAAUGUGCUGAUAUUUAAAUGUUGAUGUGUGUUUCCAGAUUUGUCUGUAUAAUUGUUAGCAUGAUAGAGACUAUGUAAUGGUGUUGCAUGUAAAUGAAUGUUUUUAGUGUCUGCUGAUUGUUCUGUGUGCACCUGCCCAGGGACCACAGAUGGAAAUUAGCUAAUAGCUAAAUCUGGUGUAAAUCAUCUCUUCUCAUUUUAGGAUUAA